UGGGUUUUUUUUAACUCCUUAUAAUUAUUAUUUGUAUGCCUCCAGAGUGUGCUGUUCUAAUCAGAGGGUAAAGUUGAUCAACUUUACAAUAGUAAAUAAUUUCGUCUCCUUUGCAAAUGAGUUUAUUAAUUUAAUUCCUGCUACAUUCAAAAUAUCAUGCCAUCUUAAGAAUUAUUUUUGAAGUGCUGUCUUUUUGGAACUUAACUUGGCUUCCCUUACAUAACUUAAAGUAUCUCUUUACCUUUCACAAAUAAUUAGAAGAUUUUAUUUGAUAUUUUCCAUUUUUAUCCUUUAAUACCCUACUCAACUGUACAAAUUGGCAACCAUAUUUAUCAAAUAAAAAAAAUUCUAAAAUGUUUCAAGUUUAUACUGAUGCA
rnacentral:lncRNA from 1 species